AUUGAACGCUGGCGGCAUGCCUUACACAUGCAAGUCGAACGGUAACAGGUCUUCGGAUGCUGACGAGUGGCGAACGGGUGAGUAAUACAUCGGAACGUGCCCGAUCGUGGGGGAUAACGGAGCGAAAGCUUUGCUAAUACCGCAUACGAUCUACGGAUGAAAGCAGGGGACCGCAAGGCCUUGCGCGGACGGAGCGGCCGAUGGCAGAUUAGGUAGUUGGUGGGAUAAAAGCUUACCAAGCCGACGAUCUGUAGCUGGACUGAGAGGACGACCAGCCACACUGGGACUGAGACACGGCCCAGACUCCUACGGGAGGCAGCAGUGGGGAAUUUUGGACAAUGGGCGAAAGCCUGAUCCAGCCAUGCCGCGUGCAGGAUGAAGGCCUUCGGGUUGUAAACUGCUUUUGUACGGAACGAAAAGACUCUUUCUAAUAAAGAGGGUCCAUGACGGUACCGUAAGAAUAAGCACCGGCUAACUACGUG
rnacentral:rRNA from 1 species